GACAGAGGGUGCAAACGUUUGUUCGGAAUUACUGGGCGUAAAGCGAGUGUAGGCGGUUCGAUAAGUCGGAUGUGAAAGCCCCGGGCUCAACCCGGGGAAGUGCACUCGAUACUGUCGAGCUAGAGUAUCGGAGAGGUUGGUGGAAUUCUCGGUGUAGAGGUGAAAUUCGUAGAUAUCGAGAGGAACACCGGUGGCGAAGGCGGCCAACUGGACGAAUACUGACGCUGAGACUCGAAAGCGUGGGGGAGCAAACAGG
rnacentral:rRNA from 1 species